CAGUAGCCGCGGUAAUACGGAGGGGGCUAACGUUGUUCGGAAUUACUGGGCGUAAAGCGCACGUAGGCGGCUUUGUAGGUUAGAGGUGAAAGCCUGGAGCUCAACUCCAGAAUUGCCUUUAAGACUGCAUCGCUUGAAUCCAGGAGAGGUGAGUGGAAUUCCGAGUGUAGAGGUGAAAUUCGUAGAUAUUCGGAAGAACACCGGUGGCGAAGGCGGCGACCUGGUCCAUUACUGACGCUGAGGCGCGAAAGCGUGGGGAGCAAACAGGAUUAGAUACCCGCGUAGUCCCUGUCUCUUAUAC
rnacentral:rRNA from 1 species